GACAGAGGUCUCGAGCGUUAUGCGGAAUCACUGGGCUUAAAGCGUGUGUAGGCGGAUGUCUAAGUACCUUGUGAAAUCCCAUGGCUUAACCAUGGAAUUGCUUGGUAUACUGGAUGUCUUGAGCCAGCUAGGGGCAACCGGAACAAAUGGUGGAGCGGUGAAAUGCGUAGAUAUCAUUUGGAACGCCAAUGGUGAAAACAGGUUGCUGGGGCUGUGCUGACGCUGAGACACGAAAGCCAGGGGAGCGAACGGG
rnacentral:rRNA from 1 species